UCGCUCCUACCGAUUUCGAGUGAUACGGUGAACCUUUUGGACUGGCCGCAAGGCCGGGAAGUUAAGUAAACCUUAUUACUUAGAGGAAGGAG
rnacentral:rRNA from 1 species